UUUUUUUUUUUAUAAGGAGAGGCGCGGUUGGAGUGACAACAGAGUGUUUGCAAGGCACAAAGAGAACCAAGUCAGCCGAGAGUAUUUUUUUUUUUUUUUGCUUCACUUUGCUUCGUUUAAUCCCUCUCGGCCCCCAUAAAGGCCCUUGUGUUUGGGAUCAUUGCGCUCACCGCCUCAAAGAGAAAACUGCCCACAUUUGUCUGGGCUGUUCUUUAAACAAGCGCAGAGCAGCGGGGGGGAGGAUCUCCUCAGAACAAAAACAAAAAAACUUGUGAUUGCGUCUAAUUUUUUUUGCAGUUGACAUCAUCCUCUAAGCUCCCUGAUAUGAGCCUCCAGCACCCUGAGUUAAGCUGGAAUACCCGGAGAAAAGCCACGCAAGCACAGGGCAAAAUUCCCUGAGCAUUCCUUGGGCCACGGUGAGCAACGUCAGACGGCGGCCAAAGCAGUAUCACAGCUGUCCAAAACCUGCGAUCAUCACAAGCACGCAGGCCAUUUUAAGUAUCGCCACCUUGACCUUUGACCUUCAUUCAAGAACCCCGUCAACGAUGUCCAUGUUUGGACUUCCUGAAAGGAGCGACCGGCGCAUCGCCUUGCAGCCUCUCGUCUGCGGUGUGCGUGAGUGAGCAUGUGUCAAGUUUGACUCCAUACAUUUGAACCCACCAGCGACAUGAAGGAACGUGACCCAGGGAGCAGCAACAGAUUCCGAAAAACAAGGUGAAAUGCCCGCUGGCUCGACGCAAGCAGAUGCGGCAACGUGAUAACGGCAAACAAAAAAAAAAAAACAAGGUUGAAAGCGUGGC